GGGCCUGGGUGUGGUGGGAGGCUUGGGGGUGGGGGGUGCGGGGAAAGGACGGCAGGGCCCAAUGGACCCCUCCUGCCCUCCCCGCCUCCUUCAGGCCCAGCGCCCCCCCCCCCCACACCCCACAGAAGCCACAGACAUGCCCACAUAAUGUGUCCCCUUUUCUUCGGCACAUCAAGCUGGAUACAGCACAGAUGGCCAUGUCACCAGAGAAGCACCGUCCCUGGACACCUGCAGCCCAGGAACAUGUCAGCAGGAAGCUGGUGUGGCCUGAGGAUUAGAGCCAGGGGCCUGAGUUCAAAUCCCAGCUCUGCACCCUGGGAAAAGUUAUUCAACCCCUCUGUGCCUCAGUUUCCUCAACUGCAAAUCGAGAUGAUAAUAUCACCCACCUCAAAGGGUGGUUGUGAGGAUUAACUGAGUUAGUACGUGUAAAGCACUCGGAAGCCAGAUCCACAGGAAGUGCCAAAUAAGUGUUUGCAAGAACUAUGGUAUGUUGACAUAAACACACAGGCACUCAUGAGACUACCUAUGAGUCAGGAUUGAUUCCACCUCAAUGGGUUGUUGCUGGUUGUUAGUGAGAUAGGACUAGGUUAGAGCAGGGCCAGUUGGGCUGCCCCCACACUUUCCCCGUUUUGGCACAUAGCGGGGAGACAAGCAGGGUAGAGAAUGGAGUAAACAACCUGGCUCAACCCCUGGAGAUCGGAACAGAACACACAGGGCCCUGAGAGCAAGAGGUACCUGGCUGAGGGGUGGUGAGAACUAAAAUGUUGAAAAUAAACUGUUAAUAUAGUUCUUGCAGGACUCCACAGGAGAAGAGUGAGUGCAAAAGAAGUAGAAGCGAGUCCUUCCCGUGCCAGCCAAAGGGGGCUAUGUGACAAAGGGACCUAGUGCGCCUGCAUCACAACCCAUAAUGAUUUCUGUCAAGGGGAACUGAAAGACUUCCAUCGUGAAGAAAUCCUGCACGCGCAACUGUAGUUGCAUAACCCAGCCCCUUCUCAGAAAUCUCCCCCUUCCGCCCAGCCUCAUGAAUAAACAUCAAAACCCCUCCUCCCAUACUUGCAAACUCAGUCUAUGAAGCCAGCAUAUCCCUGAUACCAAAAUCAGGUAAAGACACCACAAAAAAAAAAAAAAGAAAAUUACAGACCUAUAUCCCUCAUGAACUUAAACCCAAAAAUCUUCAACAAAAUUCUAGCCAAUAGAAUUCAACAACAUAUCAAAAAAAUAAUUCAUCAUGACCAAGUGGGAUUCAUACCAGGUAUGCAGGGAUGGUCUCAACGUUAGAAAAACAAUUAAUGUAAUCCAUCACAUAAAUAAAACGAAAGAUAAGAACCACAUGGUCUUAUCAAUUGAUUCAGAAAAGGCAUUUGAAAAAGUUCAACACCCAUUCAUAAUAAAAACUCUCAGCAAAAUAGGAAUUGAAGGAAAAUUCCUCAACUUAAUAAAGGGCAUAAAAAAAAUUUUUUUUUUUUUUCUAUACAAAGCCAACAGCCAACAUCAUCCUAAAUGGAGAGAGUCUAAAAGCAUUCCUCUUGAGAUCGGGAACCAGACAAGGAUGCCCUUUAACAUCACUCUUAUUCAACAUUGCACUGAAGGUCCUAGCCAGAGCAAUUAGGAUAGAUAAAGAAAUAAAGGGCACCCAGAUUGGUAAGGAAGAAGUAAAAGAUCUUAUAUACAGAAAACCCUAAUGAAUCCUCAAGAAAACUACUGAAAAUAGAGGAGUUCAGCAGAGUAUAUACAAGAUAAACAUACAAAAACCAGUUGGAUUCCUCUACACCAACAAAAAGAACAUUGAAGAAGAAAUCACCAAAUCAAUACCAUUUACAGUAGCCCCCAAGAAGAUAAAAUACUUAGGAAUAAAUCUUACCAGAGACGUAAAAGACCUAUACAAAGAAAACUGCAAGAAACCAAAAUAGACCUACGUAAGUGGAAAAAUAUACCUUGCUCAUGGAUAGGAAGAUUUAACAUCGUAAAAAUGUCUGUUCUACCAAAAGUGAUCUAUGGAUACAAUGCAAUUCCGACCCAAAUUCCAAUGACAUUUUUUAAUUUCCUCAACUGUUUUAUCUGUGUGUUCUUUGGCUUGUUCUGCAUAUUGCCUGAUCUCCUUCCUUAUGUCUUGAAGAGUUCUGUAUAUUAAUUUUUUGAAUUCUGCAUCCAGUAAUUCCAGGAAGUCACCUUCAUCCAGAAGAUCCUUUGAUUCUCUGUUUUGAAAGCUUGUUGAAGCAAUCAUGGUCUGUUUCUUUAUGUGGUUUGGUAUUGACUGUUGUCUCUGAGCCAUCUCUAAGUUAUUGUAUUAGUUUAUUUUACAUUUGCUUACUUUGUCCUAGUUCCUCACUUUGUUUUGUUUUGAUAUGCCCAAAUGGGUUGUUUGAGUGAGCUAGCUUGAUUAUUUUUGCCUUUGGGGCUCUGAAGUCAUGUCACCAGAUGGCUAGAGCUGUUAUCAGGUAUAUGAGCUUAGGAGUCCAUUCACUUUUCUUAUGUGGAUUCAGCUCAGGUGUCCAGGUAGCUGGACAUCAAGUAUGUGGUACAGGCUCUGUCCUACAGUCUUAGAGGGGCAGGAGUGUUUGGUGUAGGUACCAGUAUCUGGUUACAGCAGGGGGUCAUGCUCUGAACAAGGCAGUGGGCUGAGAACCGUGCCCCGAGUGUCUGAGGAAAGCAUGUCCCUCUUCCCUAGAGCAUGCAGGUGGGUGGGUUCUGCAGACGGACCAUGGGCACCCAAUGCUUUUGGUUGUAAGAACUAGGAGGUACCAGUUAUCCGUGGACCCCUGUUGUGGGGGCUCGGUGACCUGAGAGGAGCCACCAGUCCUUGGGCCCCUGAUGUGGGUAAGUGGGGACCCUGUUUAACAGACAAAGCUGUGUCAAAUAUCAAAUGCCCACCUCUCCACCACACAGCUGAAACAGUCACCGUCCGCCAGCAAGGGCCUAUUCUCCUGGAAUAGGCCCACACAGGUCCAUGCAGAGGGGAAAGGUAUUCAAAGUUCACAGACCAUUUAUGCCUGGACAGGAGCUGCUUCUGUUCUGAGCUCCCCAGGUUAGUAGAGCUGGCAAAUUAUCUUUUCCCCUUGCCGUGAAUUUAUUCCUUCUCCAAGGCCGGGAGGAUGGCUCAGGGCACUCAUAUGGGCCUAUCUCAGGCUCAGGGAAAUGAACAGCCACUGAAGCCGGCUUGGGGGCAGGGGGUGCGUUAAAAUAUACGCAAGUACUUAGCUUUUGCGGAGAGCGCCAUUCUCAGGUUCUGGAGGUGUGAGUAGGCUGUGUGGAUGGCUGCUUCUCCCCGAGGAAACUGCCGCCGAAGGCUAGUACCAGCCCUCUGCAGCUGCUCCCAGGAAUGGUGCCUGAGGGCUUCCCACGAUUCAGGUCCGCUAACUCCUCUCCACUUCUGAACAGUCUCACUCUCUCCCUGCCACUUAGUCCAUUUUCUAACUUUGCCUUUGAUGUUUAGGGCUCCUAGCUUGUCGUAAAUAUAAUCGUUUCACUUGAUUUUUUGGGUCUUUGUUGUAAGAGGGAUCACUGGAAGCAUCUGGCUAUUCUGCCAUCUUGGCCCUGCCUCUCCAAUGACAUUUUAACGAGAUGGAGAAACAAAUGACCAACUUCAUAUGGAAGGGAAAGAGGCCCCGGCUAGGUAAAGCAUUACUGAAAAAGAAGAACAAAGUGGGAGGCCUCACUCUACCUGAUUUUAGAACCUAUUAUACCACCACAGUAGUCAAAACAGCCUGGUACUGGUACAACAAUAGAUAUAUAGACCAAUGGCACAGAAUUGAGAAUCCAGACAUAAAUCCAUCCACAUAUGAGCAGUUGAUAUUUGACAAAGACCCAAAGUCAGUUAAAUGGGGAAAAGACAGUCUCUAACAAAUGGUGCUGGCAUAACUGGAUAUCCAUCUGCAAAAAAAUGAAACAAGACCCAUACCUCACUCCAUGCACAAAAACAAACUCAAAAUGGAUCAAAGACCUAAAUAUAAAAUCUAAAACGAUAAAGAUCAUGGAAGAAAAAAUAGGGACAACAUUAGGAGCCCUAAUACACGGCAUAAACAGUAUACAAAACAUUACUAACAAUGCAGAAAAGAAACUAGAUAACUGGGAGCUCCUAAAAAUCAAACACCUAUGCUCAUCCAAAGACUUCACCAAAAGGGUAAAAAGAUUACCUACAGACUGGGAAAAAGUUUUUAGCUAUGACAUUUCUGAUCAGCAUCUGACUCUAAAAUCUAAUGAUACUGCAAAAACUCAACUACAAAAACACAAAUAACCCAAUUAAAAAAUGGGCAAAGGAUAUGAACAGGCACUUCACUAAAGAAGACAUUCAGGUAACUAACAGAUAUAUGAGGAAAUGCUCACCAUCAUUACCCGUUAAAGAAAUGCAAAUCAAAACUACAAUGAGAUUUCAUUUCACUCCAACAAGGCUGGUAUUAAUCCAAAAAACACAAAAGAAUAAAUGUUGGAGAGGUUGUGGAGAGACUGGAACACUUAUACACUGCUGGUGGGAAUGUAAAAUGGUACAACCACUUUGGAAAUCAAUUUGGUGCUUCCUUAAAAAGCUAGAAAUAGAACUACCACACGAUCCAGGAAUCCCACUCCUUGGAAUAUAUCCUAGAGAAGUAAGAGCCUUUACACGAAGAUAUAUGCACACCCAUGCUCACUGCAGCAUUGUUUACAAUAGCAAAAAAUGGAAGCAACCAAGGUGCCCAUCAACGGAUGAAUGGAUAAAUUAUCAUAUAUUUACACAAUGGAAUACUACGCAUCGAUAAAGAACAAUGAUGACUCCUUCAAACAUUUCGUAACAUGGGGGAAUCUGGAGGGCAUUAUGCUGAGUGAAAUCAGUCAGUUGCAAGAGGACAAAUAUUGUACGAGAUCACUAUUAUAAGAACUCGAAAAAUAGUUUAAACAGAGAAGAAAAUAUUCUCUGAUGCUUACGAGACGGGGGAGGAAGGGAGGGAGGGAGAGAGGUUUUCACUAAUUAGGUAGUAAAUAAGAACUAUUUUAGGUGAAGGGAAAGACAACACACAAUACAGGAGAGGUCAGCACAACUGGACUAAACCAAAAGCAAAGAAGUUUCCUAAAUAAACUGAAAGCUUCGAAGGCCAGCGUAGCAGGGGCGGGGGUCUGGUAACCAUGGUUUCAGAGGACAUCUAAGUCAACUGGCAUAAUAAAAUCUAUUAAGAAAACAUUCUUCAUCCCAUUUUGGAGAGUGGCGUCUGGGGUCUUGAACGCUAGCAAGUGACCAUCUAAGACGCAAAAAUUGGUCUCAACCCACCUGUAGCAAAGGAGAAUGAAGAACACCAAAGAAACAAGGUAAUUAUGAGCCCAAGAGACAGAAAGGGCCACAUAAACCAGAGACUACAUCAUCCUGAGACCAGAAGAACUAGGUGGUGCCUGGCUACGACCAAUGAAUUCCUUGACGGGGAACAGAGGGAACACAACAGAGAACCCCUGGGGGAGCAGGAGAGCAGUGGGAUGUAGACCUCAAAUUCUCGUAAAAAGACCAGACUUAAUGAUCUGACUGAGACUAGAAGGAACCCGGAGGUCAUGGUCCCCAGACCUUCUGUUAGCCCAAGACAGGAACCAUUCCCAAAGCCCACUCUUCAGACAGGGAUUGAACUGGACUAUGGGAUAGAAAAUGAUACUGGUGAAGAGUGAGCUUCUUGGAUAAAGGAGACACAUGAGACUAUGUGGGUAACUCCUGUCUGGAUGGGAGAUGAGAGGGCAGAGGGGGUCAGAGGUUGGCCGAACGUACACGAAAAUAGAGAGUGGAGGGAAGGAGUGUGCUGAGUCAUUAGAGGGAGAGCAACUAGGAGUAUAUAGAAAGGUGUGUAUGAGUUUUUGUGUGAGAGACUGACUUGAUUUGUAAACUUUCACUUAAAGCACAAUAAACAAAACAAAACAAAACAAAAAAACCCCUCCUCCCCUCUUGUUGAAACCCUUAAAUACUUGGCUCUUAGGCAAAUCAGUGAGACAGUCUCUCUAAAGGUUCUAGCCCUGACUGUUUCCUUUUGCUAGCUGCUGGCGAAAUAAAUUUGCUUGUGUGACUCCAGGCUGCCUCAAUAGUCUUAUUUGGCUGCACGAAUCUGGUUGGGUUCAACCGAGGAAAGGGCCCUCGGUAACAGGACCGAUACACAGAGCCACAUGCGGAGAUAUGUGUAAACCAAAAUAGAAAAUUCCAUGCAAACACACACGGAUGCACAUGUGCAUACAGACACACACAGACUCAGUAUGCACACAUAUGUACACACAUACACAUCCAGAAUAUAAAAACGGGUGCACAUACACCAUAUACAGGCAUGCACACACAGCGAGCGGUGUGUGCAAGCACAUGCAGGCACAUAGGCACCAACCAACAGGAAAUGUCUGUAUCAAACUCUCCAGCCCGAAUCAGCCCUGUGGCUGAUUGAAUCCCUUUCCAGCAGCCUCCUGCUGUGUCCCCGCCCCCCCCGCCCCCCACCCAGCUAUGUGCAGGGUGCCCCUGGGAGUGGCCUUGGGUUGUCUCUCAGGUUACCGUCACACAUAGGCAGGUGUCUGUCUGACCACAGACACCCCAAAGCAGUCCACUGUGCCCUGCCCUGCCUGGGAUCUGGGAUCGUGAGCUAGGAACCUCAGCAGGCAUCUGCCUGGGGCCCCCUUAUGGCAUCCCAGCCUUGAACGAAGGAAUGAGACGCCAUCUCUCACUCUGAGCAGAGAAAACAAAACACAAACCCAAACUGCAACAGUUCCCUCCUGCCUCCUUCCCCCACCCCCAUCAGCAUCCCCAGCAGGAUCCCUUUUGUCAUCAGCCCACCACCCUGGAUACUGUGGAUUAAAAGCUUUUGUCUGUGGGACAAUAAAGGGCAUUUCUGAGUCAUAACUCCACCCCUUCUUUAUUCCUCCCAGGCUGAAUUCCACGCCUGCAGGGACCAUGGCCACACUGAGGUCAGACAUGGAUCCUGGGCAACACAAAGACACUGGGUAUUUAUGGGUGAGGCGGGAUGAGGGUCAGGAUGAGCAGGACACCGGGGUUGCUACAGGCUGGAACUCCUUUCCUCCCUGGGCCUCAGUUUGUUCAUCUGUAAAAAGGGGGUAAAAACACCUGUCUGCAGUGGGCACUGGUCAUUGUUUCGAGCUGCCCAGGUUCUAAGCCUUUUCCCAAGUUUGGGGAGUUUCUGCCCCGUCUGAGUCCCACCAGGAGAGGUGCCCUACUUCUCAUUCAGAAAGCUGAAGACAGCAGCCUCACAAUUUCCCUGCCUCCCUUGCAGCUAGGGUGGGGGUUGGUGACCCAGGCUGGGCCAAUCAGGUGCACCCGCCCCAGACUGAAUCAGGAACUAGUAAAGAAGCAAGGAUGGGGGGCUCCACCGCAGGUGGCAGUGACACCCAUUUUCUGGGGCCAGCAAGACCAACAGUGGGGUCCAGGCCCACGUCCCUGGGUGUGGCUUCCACCUGAAAGUUUCCAGGCGUAAGUUUGUUGCCCAAGCUCCGGCUGCGUUCAGUGCUGGGAUUGAGCGCCCCAGUAUUCUUUCCAUAAAUUCCUUUUCUGCUCACAGCAGCUGGGGGACGGGGAGGGAAGCCAAGGCGAUGGGUUCAAAUCACCAACCUUCAGAUAAGUAGCUGAGGGCGAAUCAUUUGUUUCACCCAGGGGCCUAUCAAGAACAGAGCAGGGGUCUUCAAAUUCAGAGGCGCUAUGAAUUUGGAUAGGAGAUGGUGACUUGGUGAGGUUUUCUUGGUUUGUUUUUUAAUUUUAUUGUGGUGAAGUAUAUAUAUAACAAAAAUUUGCCCCUUUGACCAUUUUUAAGUGUACAAUUCAGUGACGUUAGUUACAUUCAUCCUAUUGUGCGAUACCAUCAUGAUCUAUUUCCAGGGACGGAUUGCCCAAUAAGCCAGGUAUGCACAGGCUUAGCAAUGAUGUGGUGAAACCCAUGUGAAACUGUGCACUACAGGUUAGUAAGUAAACACAAGUAAGCCUGUGUGCACCUUGCUUACUGGUUAAUCCACCCGUCUAUUUCCAAAAGUCUUCCAUCAUCCCAAGCAGAAACUCUGUGCCCAUUAAGUGAUAACUCCCUAUCCUCUCCUCCCCCCAGCUCCUGGUAACCUCUGACAACCUGUUGUCUCUAUGCGUUUGCCUAUUCUACAUAGUUCAUCUAAACGGGAUCAUAUUUGUCUUUGUGAUUGACUUAUUUUGUUCAGCAUAAUGUUUUCAAGGUUCAUUCAUGUUGUAGCAUGUACCAGAGCUUCAUUUCUCUUUAGGGCUGAAUAAUAUUCCAUUGUAUAGCUAGAACCCAUCUUGUUCAUCCAUUUCUUUGCUGAUGGACACCUUUUGGUUGAUGGGGUGCUUCUGUUUUGGCUGGUGUGAACAGUGCUGCAGUGAACAUUGGUGUACAACUACCAGUUUGACUCCCAGCUUUCAACUGUUUUGGACAUAUACCGAGGAGUGGCAUUGCUGGGUCAUACGGUAAUUCCGCAUUUAAAUUUUUGAGAAACCACUGAACUGUUGCACCAUUUCCCAUUCCCACCAGCAGUGCACAAGGAUUCCAAUUCCUCCACACCCUCACCCACGCUUAUCUUCCUUUUUUUUUUUUAAAUAAUAGCCAUCCUAGUGGGUGUGAGGUGGUAUCUCACUGUGGUUGCAGAAUUUUUAAUGCUGAUUAGAUGAUAUAAUAAUAUUUUGGAUUUAUUGGACUCAAUACAAAUAUCAUUAAAAUGAAUUUCUCUUGCUUCUUUUUACUUUUUUAAAUGAGACUACUAGAAAAUUAAAAUUGCGUCUAUGACUCAACAUUAUAUUUGUGCUGGGUAGGACUGGUCAAAGGAAGUGCCUGCCCACGCUGAACAUUCUGAGAAGUUUACCAACAGGCAUGCAUUUCUCCUGUGUUCUAGAACUUUCCUGGUCUUUCGGUGGCUGGCCAGCUGCGGCUUUGCCAGGAAAGGCAUAAUUGUUGCCCUUUGUUUACAUUUGGGGUGCAUUUUAUAUCUGGGGUACAUGAUUUUUUCAUUCUUCCUGUGGUCAGUACCUCUGGGAGAUACACUGUAGUCAAGCUAGUGCUUAAGAUGUUUGCAAAUAAGGUAAAAUCUUUAUAAAAUAAAGAUUUUAAUAAGAAAUAUCCAGUCUUAAAUCAAUAGAAAUAAAUUCCAGGCACAUCUUCAAAAAACGAAACAUAUUUUGAAAGGUCCACGGGCUUUGCCAGAGUCCCUGGGUGUGCAAAUGGUUAACAUGCUCGGCUGCUAACUAAAAGAUUGGAGGUUCGAGUCCUUGGAAAAAAGGCCUGGUGAUCUACUUCUGAAAAAUCAGCCAUUGAAAACCCAGUGGAACACAGUUCUACUCUGACACACAUGGGGUCACCUGAUUAGGAGUUGACUCCGUAGCAAUUGGUUUUUUAUGGGAUUCGCCAAGCUGUCAGGGGAGUCCCCAGGAAUCAGGGGGUCCUGAGCUGGGCCCCUGGCCUCCCUGCUCUCCUGCCCUUUGAGGAUCAUGUGGCUUCUGGCAGAGUUUCCCCGUUUUCAGAUGACUCCAGCACGCAAUCACAGCCACCACACAAACACGGGGCCACAACAGCCUCCUGACCCUCCCGUGUGGGCAAGGGCCCUGGCCCUGCCCGGGAUAGGCACGAGGUUCGACCCCUGGGAUCCCUGCUUCAGAGUAAGGAGACCCUGGGUGGAAUCUGUCCAUGUGAUGGCCUCUCCCUACGCCUCCAGAUCCUGGCGGGGAGCCAAGCCAGAGCCCAGGCACCUGGGCCUUUGUCCCAAAGGGAGCUGGGCAGUGGGGACCUCUGAGCUCUAUAGGCGGGGCCAGCCUGGGGGCAGUCAUCACUAUCAUCAGCAACUUAUUGAGAGGCAUUUCCUGAAAUGAACUCUGUGGCUGCCCACCUCUCCAGGCCCGAGCCUUUUCUUCUUAUUCACAUACCUUAAGCACGGCCCAGGUGUAGGCACCAGACAAGUAUUAUCUUGUUUAAUCCCCACACACCCUCAGAGGGCAGCACUGCCAUCACCCUUCCUCACUUCACUGAUAAGGAAACUGAACCACCGAGAGGUUAAGUGACUGGCCUGAGGUCACACAGCUCAGGGCCCAUGUUCUGGAGGACCACUCCAUGACACCUCUUUGAGAACCAAAAACCCAUAGCUGCAGCAAAGGGACGCUGCUCCACCCCAGUGAAUAAAAUCCUGCCAUGGAGGGCACCAUAUAGCCUACCGCCGGCUUGUCCCUCCUCUGCUUGGAGCGCUGCUCCUCCUCCACCAUGUGCCCACAUUCUAGGGGCAUCACCACUUGCCAAACACCCAGCCAGACACCUGGGAAUCUCCCCUACCCCCACAAUGCUGACGACUCUUCCUCCUCUGUCGUAAAUAGCUCCGUCUCAGCCCCUUUCUCUCUAAUCCCUCCCCUUGAUACCAACCUAGUGACCUGGGGCAAGUCAUCUGACCUCUUUGUGCAUCAGUUUCCUCAUCUGUGAAAUGCGGAUAAAGAUAGGCCUACCUCAUAGGGUCAUGGUGAAGCUAAAGUGAGAUAGUUCAAUUGAUCUCUCUCUACCUACCUACCUACCUACCUACCAGUCAAGGCUUCCCGUGGUCCCAAGCACAGAGUAAGUGCCGAAUGCUAUUUCAUCAUCACUACAAUUACCAUCUGUGUCCACAGCACAGCACAGCGGGCAGGUCAUGGGAGGCCCUGCAACUAAUGUCUGUUGACCAGAGACGGCUUCAUGGGUCGAUCCGAUCAUGUUCCUUUCCAGCCAAAAGCCGUCUGAAGUCUCUCCAUGAGCCCAAGAGUGAAGCACCCACUUGACUUAGGGGACCAGCCAAUCCGGCCCUACCACGGUCUCCAGCCACAUCCUCCACCCUCUCCUCUGUGCCCACUGAGCUCCACACGCUCUGUCAGUUUUGACAGCACAACCCCUAUCCUGACUCAGGGACUUUGCACAUGCUGUUUCCUCUUCUCAGAAGGUUCUUCCUCCAACUCCCUGCACAGCUGGCUCCCUUGUCACGCUCAGGUCUUCGCUUACAUGUUGCCUCCUUAUGGAGGUCUCCCUAACUCCCCUCCCCGCCAAAUCUGGAUCAGAUCCUAGCGCAUGGCUCUUUUCCCUUCAUGCCCCCGCCUCACGACUUGUCGACAUACAUCUUCUGAUUCAUUGGCUGUCUCCUUCAUGGGCAUGUCAGCACCUUGAGGGCUGAGACCUCACUGGGUGCUCAUGGAUGGAUCCCCAGGGCUUAGUGCAGCAUGUGGCCCUAGGAGGUACAAUGACCAAAGGCGAUCAGUGAAUGAACAAACGAGUGGAAUCUUGUCCUGACGUGGGCUCUGCAGCCUGGAACAUUGGAGCUCAGAGAUGGGGAGAUGUCACCAAGGUCACAGAGAUUGUGGGUGGCAGAGCUGGAGCCACCUGCAAAACUUUGAGUAUUAUUAUGAAAUAUUUUUAAAGUUCAAAGGAAUAUACACCAUGCAGACCUCUAGAAGCUCCCUCUUUGUUUCACCAUCAGUCCUGGCAGGGCAGGGAGCCCCUCUAUCGCCUCCACGGUCACCCCUGUUGGGCAGGGCUGGGAGGCAGCCGCAGCUGCGAGGUCUUUUCGCCAGAUGCUGGGGAGGAAGGUCAUGAUGGCCCCUCUGGCAAGUCAUACGGACUCCCCCCAGGAUGGGGACGUCUGAGUCACAGCCAAAGGGCAGAAUGGCAUUGUCCAAAUUGUCCAAAAUCAUGAUGUGUGAUUCCAAACUCCAUCCCUGCUUGUUUCCCCCAAGUCUCUGUGCAGCCCAUAAAUCUACUGCUCUCCCCCAGCUCAGGGUCGUUCAAGUUUGCUUAUUGGCAAGACUCUGUGAGAAGGAAUGGAAGCAAAACACGAGGAGAAAGGAGCACUGGUCUGUGGUGGGGGGCCUGGAUGGAGGCCAAUUGUGUGGAGGGGGUGAGAAAAAAGCAAUAAUACUAACAACAGCUAGCACCUGCUGAGCCCCACCGGGCCUGCACUGUGCUGGGGUCUCCCUAAAUCCCACCCACACCCCUCGGAAAUUGGCAGAACCAUUACUUUCAUUUCAUAGAUGUAGAAACAGGGCUCAGGGAGGUUGAGGGCUUUGCCCAGGGUCACACAGCCAGCCACAGGCUGGAAUUUCAGAGUCUGCUAUGCGCUCACCCACAGCGUCCCGACUGACUAUAACCACAAGCCGUCACCUGCCAGGCAAUUAAAACACUUUGCCGCAUUUAAUUUUCAAGACUUUAUGAGCUACAUGUGGUUGUUAGCCUUGAGGCUCAGAUAAUGGAGACCACUUGCCCAGAGUCCAUGGCCAGGAGCUGGCAGAGGUAGGAUUUGAACCCAGUGUGCCUCCAGCACCCGCAUACUUCCCUCUGUGCCCACCUGCCUCCUUUGUCAUCUCAGACAGGUCAUGUGCCUCCUGGCUUCUGCACAGUUGGGCAGAGGCAGGUGAAACACCUCAUACUGUGACCUUCAGGCCAAGGACAUCAGGACAUGGCCACACUGUUAAGCGGCGCCCCCCAGUCUCGGUCUCCCCCCCACCCCACUCCUGGGCCCCUCUUUUUUCAGUCAAGGCCUAACAAUAGCGGCCAGCAAUCUCUAUAUUGGGGCAGUAACAGGAGAAAGGGAAAGUUUUCAGCAACACUGGGGAGUUGUGGUUUGGGAUGGACUGGGGAGCUGCCUUCCCCAUUCUAGAGACGGGGACAGAGGCUGGUGAUUCAUCAGGGUCAAACCUGGUAGGUGGGCAAGUUCCCAGGCCAGUGCACCUUCACUGCCCUGCGGGCCCAUCAGGAGGCCCUGGGCCCUCAGAUCCACCCCCUCCCCACCUCUGCUCUCCGGGCCAUCUCAGGGGUGACCCCUCAAUCUCAUUCUCCAGGCCCCCUGGAGGCGGGAGACACCUGGGUGUGUCUCCCGCCUCUCUCUGCUUCUCCUCUUCCUGUCCAUGGUUCUAGCCCCACCUAUGUGCUCUAGUUACCCCACCCCCACCCCUCUUGCCCCAGGGCUGGGGGCCCACGCCUUUCAGAUCUCCCAGCUCUGGUGUAACUGGUCCCCAAGUUAAAGUCCCUUUACUGGCUUGCAUGGGACUCCUGCCAGGCCCUGCCUGACCCCCGCCACUGGGGGCCCUUUAGAGAGUCAACCGAGCCGGACUGGGGGGACAGGGCUGAGGGGUGGACAGACAGCAGGGAUGCAGAUGGUAAGUGGCAAGUACCCUCAGGACGAGAACUCGAGCCUGUGAAAUACUGGUGUCGGAUGGGCAGGGUGGGGAUGGGGGUGAGGAAUUCACGUUCCUGGGAGCACAGAUGAAAAAUAAAGCACCCUGAUUUCUCACCAGCCAAGAAUGAUGCCCCAAGACCAAGUGUGUGAUUUUCAGGAAGAAAUACCCUGAAACUGGGCCUGCUUCGGCCAUGAGCCUUGGGAUCUUCAUCCGUAUCUGAAGAUCAGACCGUGGUCUCAGGGGACAUCUAAUUCAAUUGGCAGAACAUAGUCUAUAAAGAAAAUAUUCUACUUCCGACUAUGGUGAGUAGUGUUUCAGGUCUUAAGAGCCUGCGAGCAGCCAUCUAAGAUACAUCUACUGGUCCCAUAAUGGCUGGAGCAAAGGAGAAUGAAGAAAACCAAAGACAUAAGGGAAAAGUUAGUCCAAAGAACUAAUGGACUACAACCUCCACUGUACUGAGCCCGAACAACUAGAUGGUGCCAGUUGCCACCAUGGACUGCUCUGGCUGGGACACAAUAGAGGGUCCCGGACAGAGCAGGAGAAAAACGUAGAAUGAAAUCCAAAUUUGCAAAAGAAAAAAAAUAAAAGACGAGGCUUGCUGGUCUGACAGAGACUGGAGAAAUCCUGAGAGUAUGGCCCCCAGGCACCGUUUUAACUCAGUACUUAAGUCACUCCUGAGGUUUACCUUUCAGCCAAAGAUUAGACAGGUCUAUAGGGCCAACAAUAACACACAUGAGGAACAGGUUUCAUAGUUCAGUCAUGUGUACGAAACUAAUGGGCACGCUAGGCCAAAAGCAAAGACGAGAAGGCAUGAAGUUAUAGGAAAAGUGGACAGAUGGAAACAAGGAACCUGGGAUGGAGAAGCAGAGAGUGUUGAUACAUCUCGGGGUUGGCAACCAAUGUCAGAAAACAAUUUGUAUAUUAACUGUUUAAUGAGAAACUAAUUUGCUCUGUAAAUUUUCACCUAAAGCACAAUUAAAAAAAAAACAAAAAAACCCCUAACAGACCCCGUGAAAAAGCCUUGCACUCAAUAAACACACCCCAACAGAUGCUAUGAAUAAGCUGUGCACCCCUCAGUAAAUACACCCCAAUAAACAAAACCAAAAACUCAUUGCCAUUGAGUAGAUUCUGACUCAUAGUGACCCUGGACAGAGCAGAACUGCCCUGUAGUGUUUCCAAGGCUGUAAAUCUUCACCUAAGCAGACUGCCACGUCUUUCUACCAUGCUGGUAGGUUUGAACUGCCAACCAUUUGGUUAGCAGCCGAGCGCUUAGCCACUGUACCGCCAGGGCUCCCCACUUUACAGACCAGGAAACUGAGACCUAGAGCGACUUGUUCGAGGUCAUGUGGCUCGGAAGGGAGGAAUCAGGAUUUGAACCCAGUUCACUAUGACCUCAAGGGCUUGUCAAAUCUCACUCAAGUCUCAUGAGAGUGGGGGUCCCUUUCAUGCCUGCCCUCUUCAUUUUCCCAUUUUGGUAAAUGACACCACCGGCUCCCCCAUCACGGCGCCCUGGUGGUGCAGUGGUUAAGAGCUUGUCUGCUAACCAAAAGGUUGGCAGUUCGAAUCCACCAGCCGCUCCUUGGAAACCCUAUGGGGCAGCUCUGCUCUGUCCUGCAGGGUCUCUAUGGGUCAGAAUCGACUCGGUGGCAAUGGGUUUGGUCUUUUGGGUUAUGUGCCAGGUACUGUGCUAUGCACUGGAGACACUACCAUGAACAAAACAGGCAAAAUCCCUGCCCUCAUGGGGCCGGCAUUGUAAUAGAAGAAGCAGGUAACAUACUGUUGUUGUUAGUUGCCAUCCAGUGGACUCCGACUCAUGGUGACCCCAUGUGUGCAGAAUAUGGUUUUCAAGGCUGUGACCUUUCAGGAGGGGAUCGUCAGGCCUGUCUUCCAAGGCAGCUCUGUGUGGGUUUGAACUGCCAACCUUGUGGCUAGUAGCUGAAGGAGGUACUUGACCAUUUGGACCACUCAAGGGCUCCUAUAUACUCUGUAAGUAAUAAAAAUACACCUGAUGUGUCCUGGACGGAGUGGGAGAAAAGUGUAAAACAAAAUUCAAAUUCACAAAAAGACCAGACUUACUGGUCUGACAGAGACUAGAGGAAUCCCUAAGACUACAGCCCCUGGACACCCUGCUAACUCAGGACUGAAGCCACUCUCGAAUCCACCUUUCAGCCAUAGACAGGGCUAUAAAACAAACGGUAACACAGGUGAGGAACGUGCUCUUAGUUCAAUCAAGUAUACGAGACCAAAUGGGCAACACCUGCUCCGAAGCAAAGACAAGAAGGCAGGAAGGAAGAGGAAAACUAGAUGAAUGGACCUGGAAACACGGGGUGGGAAGCGGGGAGUGCUGAUACAUUGCGGGGAUUUCAACCAAUGUUGCAAAACAAUUUGUGUAUAAAUUUUUGAAUGAGAAAGUAAUUUGCUUUGUAAACUUUCACCUAAAGCAUGAUAAAAUUUAAGAAAAAAAAAAAAUAUAUCCAACCCAUUGCCAUCAAGUAGAUUCCGACUCAUAGUGACCCUAUAGGGCAGAGGAGAACUGCCCCAUAGGGUUUCCAGGGAGCAGCUGGUGGAUUCAAACUGCCAACCUUUUGGUUAGCAGCCGAGCUCUUAACCAUUUUGCCACCAGGGCUCCAUAUAUACAUAUAUACCUGAUGUUACAUCGUGAAAAAGGCCGUAGGGAAAGCAAAAAAAAAAAAAAGAAGGAAUGGGAUGGGGGUGUGAUUUAAAGCAGGUUGGUCCCUGAGCAGGUGACAUCUGAGAGGAAGGAAGUGAGGGUGAGGACAUCUGGGGGAACAACUCUUCCAAAUACGCAGAAUCUGAGGCUCAGAGAAGUGGCAUGACUGGCCCUAGGCCACACGCAAGAAUGGGGGGGAACUUAACUAAGGGUGUUUCAGUUAACACGAAACAAAUGUUGGUGACUUCACUAAUUCCAGCAUGUUGACCCAUCUACUGCCAACUGCAGACAUCUGUGUUUCUGCAAGGAUCUGCCUGGUACCUCCCAGUGUCUGUGCCUGUCAGAUGCAGGCGAGGAGGAGGCUCCAGAGCUGAUGGACCACACUCAGGUCUCAGUGGGCAGGUGGCUCUGGAAAAUACAUGACUGUCUGUCACAACAAAAUUGUAAGCUGUUGGAGCAGGAAGCGCCCUUGGAGUGCGCUGGGUUCAAUGCCCACGUUCUCCAGGUGGGAAGCCCAGGCCCAGAGAAAGGGAGCAUCUUGCUCAAAGUCAUGCAGAGAGCUGGGGCAAAGCUGGAGCAAGGACUAGCUGUGCUCACUGCUUGUUUUCUUUUUUAAACAGCUUUAUUGAGAUAUGAUACACAUACCACAUGUUCACCUAUUUAAAAUGAACAAUUCAAUGAUUUUUGGUAUAUUCAGAGUUGUGCAACCAUUACCACAAUCAAUUUUAGAGUAUUUUAUUACCCCAAAAAGAAACCCUGCACUUCUUAGCCAUCACCAUUCCCUCCCCCCACUCCAGCUCUAAACAAAAAAAAAAAAGCAAAACCCACUGCCAUUGAGUCCAUUCCCACUUAGGACAGAGCAGAACUUGCCCCAUAAGGAUUCCAAGAAGUAGCUGGUGGAUUUGAACUGCUGACCUUUGGGUUACCAGCUCUGGGCAACCAAUAAUCUACUUUCUGUUUUUUGUUUUGAUUGUACUUUAGAUGACAGUUAACAGAGCAAACAAGUUUCUCAUUAAACAAUUAAUACACAUGUUGUUUUGUGACAUUGGUUGCCAACCCCACGACAUGUCAACACUCUCCCCUUCUCAACCUGGGUUCCCCAUUACCAGCUUUCCUGUUCCCUCCUGCCUUCCAGUCCUUGCCCAUGGGCUCGUGUGCCCCUUUAGUCUUGUUUUGUUUUAUGGGCCUCUCUAAUCUUUGGCUGAAGGGUGGACCUCAGAAGUGACUUCAGUACUGAGCUAAAAGGGUGUCUGGGGGCAUACUCUCGGGGUUUCUCCAGUCUCUGUCAGAUCAGUAAGUCUGAUCUUUUGUGUGUGUGUGUGUGAGUUAGAAAUUUGUUCUACAUUUUUCUCCAGCUCUGUCCAGGGCCCUCUACUGUGAUCCCUAUCAGAGUAGUCGGUGGUGGUAGCCAGGGACCAUCUAGUUGUGCUGCACUCAGUUUGGUGGAGGCUGUGGCAGUUGUGGUCCAUAAUCUACUUUCCAUCUCUAUGGAUUUGCACAUUCUGGACAUUUCAUAACAUGGUUGUUGCUAGUUGCUGUUGAGUGAUUCUGACUCAUGGCAACCCCACGUGUGCAGAGUAGAACUGUGCUCCAUCAGGGUUUCAAGGCCUGUCUUCCAACACACUUCUGGGUGGGUUAGAACCACCAAACUUUCAGCUAGUAGUUGAGCACUUAACUGUUUGCCCCACCCACGGACACCAGACAUUUCAUAUAAAUAGAAUCAUAUAAGAUGUGGUCUUUUGUGUCUGGCUUUUUUCGCUUAGCAUAAUGUUUUCAAGGUUUAUCCACGUUGUUGAGUGUAUCUGUACUUCAUUCUUUUCAUGGCCAAAUACUAUCCCAUUGUAUGAAUAUACCAUAUUUUGUUAAUUCAUUCAUCAGCUGAUGAACACUUGGGUUUUUUCCACUUGCUUGUUUUCUCUUUAACUGCUGUUGCCUGAGGACUUUCCAUGUGCCAACCAUUGCUAAACACUUGACUCCCUGAUUAAUGACACAGUCCUGUAGGGAGAGCAGUAUUAUUCCCAUUUCAUGGUCAGGGAAACUGAGGCUCAUGGCUAAGGGACUGACUUAGGGUCACACAGAAGAUCCAAAUCAGAUCCACUCCCAAAGGUCUCAAACUGGCAACCCAUGAGCCGAUACAAAACCCAAAACCAAACUCAUUGCCACUGAGUCGAUUCCAACUCAUAGCAACCCUAUAGGACAGAGUAGAACUGCCCCAUGGAGUUUCCAAGGAGUGCCCAGUGGAUUUGAACUGCCAACCUUUUGGACUGAUACAGAGCUCACUAUAUUUGGUUUGACCUGAAAAGGAUUUUACAGUUUUUUGAAAUAGCUGCCCACUUUUGAAAUGGGGAGUUUUCAUGCAAAAAUCUCAGAUUUCUAGCUUCUUUUUUAAAAAAAAAAAAAAAAGGAUCACAAGAUCUGGUCACAUGAGACUGCCUUCCCCUUUCCUGGAGUUUGGGGACUGUUGCUGAGAGGUGGUGCUGUCCUCGGAAGCUCUGGUGGCGUAGUGGUUAAGUGCUACAGUUGCUAACCAAAGGGUCAGCAGUUUGAAUCCACCAGGCGCUCCUUGGAAACUCUAUGGGGCAGUUCUACUCUGUCCUAUAGGGUCUCAUAUGAGUAGACUCUGAGAAGACUAUAAGUCGACUCGACGACACUGGGUUUGGUUUUGGUUUUGGUUUUUGGUGUUGUCCUCUUGGGAUGGGGCUGGGCUCUCUAGUGCCCCCUGCUGGCCCACUACCUGGCUAGAGUAACCAACCAACUGUCCAGUUUGCCAGGGAUGCUCCUGGUUUUAGAGGAGCUCUGGUGGCGCAUCGGUUAAAGUGUUUGGCUGCUAAAUGAAAGGUCGGCUGUUCGAAUCCACCAGCUCCGUGGGAGAAAGAUGUGAUGGUCAGCUUCUGUAAAGAUUACAGCCUUGGAAACCCUAUGGAGCAGUUCUACUUUGUCCUAUAGGGUCACUAUGAGUUGGAAUCAACUCUGUGGCAACGGAUUUGGUUUUUUGGUUUUGGUCCUAGUUUUAAAACUGAAAGUCCCACACAUAGGUAAACCCAAGAUAGUUGGUCACCCGGCUGGCCCCAAACCCUCAUAGCCUGCCGUCCCCACUGCCCAUCACUGCCUCCCCUAGCACCUACCAUCCAGGGUAGAACUCCAAGGAAAAGGUGCCGAAGCUGGCUUUUAUUGAGUGUCUGGUAUUCUCAGCCACGUCUUCUUUAACCAUUUCUCACUCUGCCCACACUCUCCUGGGCUUUAUUAUUAGUUGGCGUCAAGAUGGCUGCAACUCAUGAUGACCCCGAGUACAAAAGAAUUGAAUGCUGCCCAAACCCAGGCCAUCCUCAUGAUUACAGGCAUGCUUGAGUCCACUGUUGCCUUCCAACCUUGGGCUCUCAUCUUCUAGCACAUAUUGGUCAAUAGUCUGUUGUGAUCCAUAAGAUUUUCACUGGCUAAUUUUUGGAAGUAGUUCUCCAGGUCUUUCUUCUUAGUCUUUCUUAGUCUGGAAGCUCUGCUGAAAUCCGUCCACCAGCAUCAAUCAGAGCAACGCACAAGCCACCACAGUAUGACAAACUGACAGAUGAUCCCCAAAUGCCGGUCUCCAACUUCUCACUGGUCCUUGGCCAAACGAGAAAACUGGACACAGCGUUCUUCAUAAAGCUGCAUUUAUUCCCUUUUACGUCUCGCCCUCCACUCUGAGAUCAAGGUCUUCCUGCUGUUCCAAACAUUCUUUAUUUUAUGAGACAAUGGAGAGGGGAGACGAGACGGUGGUUUGGAGAGAUUUGUGUGUUUGUGUUUGUGAUUAAUUUUAGUGUGCUGAAAUAUUUAUAACAAAAAAUUUGCCACAUAACCAUUUUUAAGUGUACAGUUCAGUGACAUUAAUUACAUUCAUCACGUUGUGCAAUCAUCACCACUAUCUGUUUCCCAAGGUUUUAAUCACUCCAAACAGAAACUCUAUACCUGCUAAGCAAAAACUCCCCAUUUCCUCCUCCCCCCAGCUCCUGCUAACCUCUAAUAAUCUUUUAUUUCUAUGCAUUUACCUAUUCUAGAUAUUUCAUACAUACGUGGAAUCAUACAAUAGUUGUCCUUUUGUGACUGACUUAUUUCGCUCAGCAUAAUGUUUUCAAGGUUCAUCCAUGUUGUAGCAAAGACCUGGAGUUAGAAAACCAAAAGGGAAGAACACACUCAGCAUUUCUCAAGCUGAAAGAACUAAAGAAAAAAUUCAAGCCUCAAGUCGCAAUAUUGAAGGAUUCUAUGGGCAAAAUCCUCACAACUGGACCAAUGAGAAACAACAUGAUAAAAGCGGAAAAGACUGAAGUUGUCAAGGAUUUCAUUUUGCUUGGAUCCUCAAUCAACACCCAUGGAAGCAGCAGUCAAGAAAUCAAAAGAUGUAUUGCACAGGGCAAAUCUGCUGCAAAAGACCUCUUUGGGGAAGUCCUACUCUGUCCUAUAGGGUCGCUAUGAGUCGGAAUCGACUCGACUGCAGUGGGUAAAAGCAAAGAUGUCACCUUGAACACUAAGGUGUGCCUGAGCCAAGUCAUAGUGUUUUCAAUCACCUCCUAUGCAUGUGAAAGCUGGACGAUGAAUGAGGAAGACCAAAGAAGAAUUGACGCCUUUGAGUUGUGGUGUUGGCGAAGAAUAUUGAAUAUACCAUGGACUGCCAAAAGAAUGAACAAAUCUGUCUUGGAAAAAGUACAAUCAGAAUGCUCCUUAGAAGCAAGGAUGGCGAGACUUCAUCUCACAUACUUUGGACAUGUUGUCAGGAGGGAUCAGUCCCUGGAGAAGGACAUCAUGCUUGGUAAAGUAGAGGGUCAGAGAAAAAAGGAAGACCCUCAAUGAGAUGGACUGACACAGUGGCUGCAACAACGGGCUUAAGCAUAACAACGAUUGUGAGGAUGACACAGCGCCAGGUAGUGCUUCUUUCUGUUGUACACAGGGUCUCUAUGGCACCUAACAACGACAACAACAUGGGCAAAAUACUGAACAAUGCAGAAUGCAUUAAAAGAAAAUAGAAGGAAUACAGAGUCACUAUACCAAGAACAACUGGUUGACAUUCAACCAUUUCAAGUGGUAGCAUUUGAUCAAGAACUGAUGGUACUGAAGGAAGGAGUCCAAGCUGCACUUGGCAAAAAACAAAGCUCCAGGAAGUGAUGAAAUACCAACUGAGAUGUUUCAACAAAUGGAUGCAACUCCAGAAAUGCUCACUUGCCUAUGCAAAAAAAUUUGAAAGACAGCUACCUGGCCGACUGGAAGAGAUCCGUAUUUGUGCCCAUGUCAAGCAAAAGGUGGUCCAACAGAAUUCAGAAAUUAUCGAACAAUAUCAUUAAUGCCAAAUGCAAGUAAAGUUUUGCUGAAAAUCAUUCAACAGUGGCUGCAGCAGUAUAUAGACAGCGAACUGCCAGAAAUUCAAGCUGGAUUCAGAAGCGGAUGUGGAAGGAGGGAUAUCAUUGCUGAUGUCAGUUGGAUCCUGGCUGAAAGCAGAGAAUAUCAGAAAGAUGCUUACCUGUGUUUUAUUGACUAUGCAAAGUUAUUCGACUGUGUGGAUCAUAACAAAUUAUGGAUAACAUUUUGAAAAAUGGGAAUUCCAAAAUACUUAAUUGUGCUCAUGAGGAACCUAUACAUAGACCAAGAGGCAGUCUUUCGAACAGAACAAGGGGAUACUGCAUGGUUUAAAAUCAGGAAAGGUGUGUGUCAGGGUUGUAUCCUUUCACCAUAUUUAUUCAGUCUGUGUGCUGAGCAAAAAAUCCGAAAAGCUCAACUAUAUGCAGAAGAAUGGGGCAUCAGGAUUGGAGCAAGACUUAUUAACAACCUGAGUUAUGUGGGUGACACAACCUUGCUUAAAGUGAAGAAGACUUGAAGUAUUUACUGAUGAAGAUCAAAGACUACAGCCUUCAGUAUGGAUUACAUUUUAACAUAAAGAAAACAAAAAUUCUUACAACUAGACCAAUGAGGAACAUCAUGCUAAAUGAAGAAAAUAUUAAAGUUGUCAAGGAUUCCAUUUUACUUGGAUCCACAAUCAACACCCAUGGAAGCAGCAGUCAAAAAAUCAAAUGACAUAUUGCAUUGGGCAAAUCUUCAAAAGACCUCUUUCAAGUGUUAAAAAGCAAAGACAUCACAUUGAGGACUAAGAUUCGCCUGAUCUAAGCCAUGGUAUUUUCAAUUGCCUCAUAUGCAUGCAAAAGUUAGACAAUGAACAAGGAAGACCAAAGAAGAAUCGGUGCCUUUGAAUUACAGUGUUGGCUAAGAAUAUUGAAUAUACCAUGGACUACCAGAAAAAUAAACAAAUCUGUCUUGGAAGAUGUACAGCCUUAGAAAUGAGAAUGGCAAGACUUUGUACUUUGGACAUGUUAUCUGGAGGGACCAGUCCCUGGAGAAGGACAUCAUGCUUGGUGAAGUAGAGGGUCAGUGAAAAAGAGAAAAGCCCUCAAGGAUUGUGGGGAUGGUGCAGGACAGGCAGUGUUUCGUUCUGUUGCUAUGAAUCAAAGCUGAGUUGGCAGCACCUAACAACAGCGUGGGUUUGGGCGAGGAAGACUACAGAAGUGAAGUUCCAUUUUCAUUGCAUCAUAUCAAGGGCACAUACUAUCCACACGACUUACCACUGUUGAUGUUGACCUUGAUCAUCAAGGACACAUACUAUCCACACAACUUAUCGCUGUUGAUGUUGAUCUUGAUCACCUGGUGGAGGUGGUGUCUGUCAGGUUUCUCUGCUGUGCAUUGAGUCUUUUUCCCCUGCCCAAAAUGUACAUCUUCUUUGGAAGGAAGUCUUCAUGCACAGGAGUGGGGACCUAUCCUCCACCCCAAGGGCUGAGCAGUUACGUGAAUUAUUUGGAAAUCUUCUGCAUAGGAGAUUCACUCCUCCUCCAUUUAAAGUAAAAUUAGUAACAGCAAAGUCCUAUAUCUGUCACCAGAUUGGCAAAAUGACGUCUGCCUGAGGAAAGACAGCCUCCUUCCCUUUCCCCCCAGGCCUGUGUGGGGCAUUUCCAUUUCACACAAGACACCACAAAAUGGGGUGCCAGACUCCCCAAAUUACAGAAGAGACUCAGAGAGGGGAAAGGACGUGCCCCAGAUCACACAGGGGGGUAUGAGUGGCAGUGGCCCCAACCUCCCACCUCCCCACUCUAGCUCCCACUUCGGUGUCUGCCAAAGCCAACCGCUGUGGAGCAGGAAGAAGUCCACGGAAGGGCAGGAAAUCAUACCGGCCUGGAUCCUUCCUCCUGCAGGGCAAGUAGGACAUUACCAACCUUCUGGGAGGAACCCCAGCCAGGAACUUCAAAAGGCUCCCGACAGUCAGCAGAUGGGUUGAAUGAGGCCCUUCCCUGAGUGAUGCCACCUAGCGUCGCCACCCCUUCCGCGACCCUCCAUGUGCGGCACAGCUGGGUCCACCCCCAGGGAGAAGCCUAAAUAUUUCAAGGAUUCUUGGCUCCGUACCAGGACCACUUGCUGAGGCUCAUCUUCCGCACAGGUAGGGCUGGGCCGGGAAUUUGUGAAACCAGCAGGCCUGCUCCAGAGGAAGGGGGCCUGGGGUUUUGGAUCCCCCUUUUGACCGUCAAGGUCUUGCUGGUACCCACAGGCCUGAAAACGCAGCCCGGGUUUCUGGGGAGUCCUGAGACGCUGAUUCACCCCUUGGGAAGCUCCUUCCUGCUCUCUGGGCCUCAGAGUCCUCAAAUGGGGUGAGAUCUGACCCCACGUUAAGGCUGGGGCUCCUGUCACUGCCUCAGCCUCCCUGAGGGCUGCCCAGUCCUGUCUCCCCCUCCCGGGGGGCUCACAUUAGUCCCCCAUGACCCAGCUGCCCAGCAGCCGGCGCCUGCGACAGCAGCGCCCCCUUCUGGCUGGGUGCAUUUGGGCGUCCUCCACGGAGGUCCCGUACCCUGCUCUCUGCUUCCCCCUACAGGUCACUUUGGUUGAACAAAGUGCUGAAGAAGGAGGAAAUAGGAGAAGGUGGGGAGAGGCAGAAAAAUAUAAAGACUGGAGCUGCUGAAGGAGGAGUUUUUCAAGGGUGAGGGAAGAACAUUAAGGAAAGAGGCAUUCAAGGACUCAGAAUGUGAGGACAGACAAUAAAGACAGGAGAGGAAAGGGGAUUUUGAUUUCUUGUGUCCAUUCAACCAGCUCCUGUCCCUUUCUGCCUUCUCAUCUCACCUUGGAACAGGAGCUGCCCAUUUAGUCUCAUAUAUCUGCUUGAGCUAAGAAGUAAGGGAGGUGUUUUUAUUCCCACUGAACCAACAAGGACACUGAAGCUCAAAGAGGUGAAGUGACUUGUCCAAGGUCAGACGGCAACAAAGUGGAAGUAGAAGAAACAUCCAAACCCAGGCUGCUCCUGUAGACAGAGCUCUAAGGCUUUUCCAGGAUCUCAGCUUCAACCUUCCUCAGACCCCCAGAGUCUCCCCCAUGCCAUCCAUCAGCGUCAGGCCAGCUGCCAGCAAGAGUGGCCACUUUCUCCACUGAGUGACCUCCCAUCCAUCACUGCAGCCCCUGGCCAACUUGGGCCCAGCUGCAGUCAUCAGGCCCUGCACCGCUCCUGGGCCUGUGGUUCCUGGCAGGCAGGCUCUCCACUUAAUCCCAGCUUGGAACUGGCCCCUCCUGGCACCAGCUGGGUGGGGGAGGAUCUGGGGAGACAAGGAGGCCCCCCAGCUAUCAGUAGACAACCCCUCCCCCACUGAUAUUGCUGACAGCCCUUUCCAAGCAUUGCCUUAGCAGGGCCUCACAGUCACCAGGUGAGGAGACUGAGGCUCAGAGAGAUGCUGUGACUUGCCCACAGUCUCACAGUUGGGAAGUGCCAGAGCUGAGAUUUGAAUCCAGACUGCAUGACUCUAGAGUCCAAGCUUGUUCCAGCUCCACUGGUACCCAUAGUGGAAGUACAUGAAGGCAGAAGGAAAUAAGUGGGGGAGGAGGACCACCAGCUCAGUGUGAGCCUUGAGAGACGGCACAAUGCCAACAGAUUCAUUUCAGCAUUCCUGAUUGUGGAUGCCAUGAGUCCAAAUCAACUCCAUGGCAACCAAAAACGACAGCACUUGUGCCUGGUUUUGGAUUCUCCUUUGGUUAUAACAUCUUUCUUGUGCCCUUAUUAAUGAAUAAGUUAAAUAAAAUCUUUGGCACCUUUUCAUUUUACAUUUGUUUGAGAGUCAUAAUUUUACCUUUUAAAAGAAUUAUCCUUUUACUGUACCUGUGUGCCUACCCUCUCAGGGGCUGCAAAGCCUGCACACACACUUCCUCCUGCCCUCCAGUCCCUCACACGGCCCAGCUUCCUUGCUUGCCUCGCUAUGUGAGCUCCAGCCUCACCUGCUUCCUGUCAGUUACUUGAAAGUACCACACUCACUCCUGCCACAGGACCUUAACAUGUGCUGCCACCUGGAACACUUGUCCCCCUCUCUUCAUCCGAUCAGUUCUCACUUUGCCUCUGAAUCUCAGCUUGGCCACCAACUCCUCAGGGAAGCCCUCACUGACUACCCUUCCAUGGCCCUGUUACUCAUUCCCGUAGCACCACAAACCUCUCCUUUGUAACAUGUGUACAGUUAUGAUUAAAAAUCUCAUGAGGGUGUCUAGGAAUCUAUUCCAAACAUAUACUGCACAAAAUAUAAAAUCAUGUACACACGAGGUUUUUCACUACAGCACUACUGUUGUUGUUCGGUGCUGGUGAGUCGGUUCCAAUUCAGCAACCCUAUGUACAAAUGAACGAAAUACUGCCUGGUCCUGCGCCAUUCUCACAAUCGUUGUUAUGCUUAAGCCCAUUGUUGCAGCCACUGUGUCAAUCCAUCUCAUUGAGUGUCUUCCUCUUUUUUGCUGACCCUCUACUUUACUUAGCAUGAUGUCCUUCUCCGGGGACUGAUCCCUCCUGACAACACGUCCAAAGUAUGUGAGACGUAGUCUUGCCAUUCUUGCUCCUAAGGAGCAUUCUAGCUGUACUUCCAAGACAGAUUUGUUCAUUCUUUUGGCAGUCCAUGGUAUAUUCAAUAUUCUUCGCCAAUGCCACAAUCUAAAGGCAUCAGUUCUUCUUUGGUCUUCCUUAUUCAUUGUCCAGCUUUUGCAUGCACGUGAGGCGAUUGAAAAUACCAUGGCUUGGGUCAGGCGCAUCUUAGUCUUCAGGGUGACAUUUUUGCAUUUCAGCACUUUAAAGGGGCCUUUUGCAGAUUUGCCCAAUGCAAUGUGUCUUUUGAUUUCUUGACUGCUGCUUCCAGGAGCAUUGAUCGUGGAUCCAAGUAAAAUGAAAUCCUUGAAACUUCAAUCUUUUCUCCAUUUAUCAUGAUGUUGCUUAUUGGUCCAGUUGUGAGGAUUUUUGUUUUCUUUAUGUUGAGGCGUCAUCCAUACUGAAGGCUGUGGUCUUUGAUCUUUGUCAAUAAGUGCUUCAAGUCCUCUUCACUUUCAGCAAGCAAGGUUGUGUCAUCUGCAUAACUCAGGUUGUUAAUGAGUCUUCCUCCAAUCCUGAUGCCCCAUUCUUCUUCAUAUAGUCCAGCUUCUCAGAUUAUUUGCUCAGCAUACAGAUUGAAUAGGUAUGGUAAAAGGGUACAACCCUGACGCACACCUUUCCUGAUUUUAAAUGAUGCAGUAUCCCCUUGUUCUGUUCGAAUGACUACCUUUUGAUCUAUGCACAGGUUCCUCAUGAGCAUAAUUAAGUGUUCUGGAAUUCCCAUUUUUCACAGUGUUAUCCAUAAUUCAUUAUGAUCCACACAAAUGUCUUUGCAUAGUCCAUAAAACACAGGUAGACAUCCUUCUUGUAUUUUCUGCUUUCAACCAGGAUCCAUCUGACAUCAACAAUGAUAUUCCUGGUUCCUUGUCCUCUUUUGAAUCUGGCCUGAAUUUCUGGCAGUAUCCUGUCAAUAUACUGCUGCAGCCACAUUUGAAUGAUCUUCAGCAAAAUUUUACUUGUGUAUGAUAUUAAUGAUAUUGUUUGAUAAUCUCUGCAUUUGGUUGGAUCACCUUUCUUUGGAAUAGGCGUAAAUAUGGAUCUCUUCCAGUUGGUUGGCCAGACAGCUAUCUUCCAAAUUUCUUGCAUAGACAAGUGAGAACUUCCAGUGCUUCAUCCGUUUGUUGAAACAUCUCUAUUGGUAUUCAAUCAAUUCCUGGAGACUGUUUUCCACCAAUGCCUUCAGUGCAGCUUGGACUUCUUCCUUUAGUACCAUUGGUUCCUGAUCUUAUGCUACCUCCUGAAAUGGUUGAACAUCAACCAAUUCUUUUUGGUACAGUGACUCUGUAUCCCUUCCAUCUUCUUUUGAUGCUUCCUGUGUCAUUUAAUAUUUUCCCUGUAGAAUUCUUCAACAUUGCAACUUUAGGCUUGAAUUUUUUCUUCACUUCUGUCAGCUUGAGAAAUGCUCAGUGUGUUCUUCCCUUUUGGUUUUCUAUCUCUAGGUUUUUGCACGUCAUUAUAAUGUUUCAGUUUGUCUUCUCCAGCUGCCCUUUGAAAUCUUCUGUUCAGCUCUUUUACCUCAUCAUUUCUUCCUUUUGCUUUAGCUACUCGAUGUUCAAAAGUAAGUUUCAGAGUCUCUUCUGAUAUCCAUUUUGGUCUUUUCUUUCUUUCUUUCCUGUCUUUUUAAUGACCUCUUGCUUUCAUCAUGUAUGAUGUCCUUGAUGUCAUUCCACAACUGGUCUGGUCUUUGAUCAUUAGUGUUCAACAAGUCAAAUCCAUUCUUGAGAUGGUCUCUAAAUUCAGGUGGGAUAUAUUCAAAGUUGUACUUUGGCUCUCAUGGACUUGUUUUAAUGUUCUUCAGUUUCAGCUUGAACUUGCAUAUGAGCAAUUGAUGGUCUGUUUCACAGUCAGCCCCUGGCCUUGUUCUGACUGAUGAUAUUGAGCUUUUCCAUCAUUUCUUUCUACAGAUGUAGUUGAUUGGAUUCCUAUAUAUUCAAUUUCAGACUGCAGAAGUUGGUAAAAAUCUUUACUUUCUUCACCUCUGGCCUUAGUGGUUGGUGUGUAAACUUGAAAACAGUCAUAUUGAUAGGUCUUCCUUGUAGGCAUAUGGAUAUUAUCCUAUCACGGACAGCACUGUACUUCAGGAUAGAUCUUGAAAUGUUCUUUUUGACGAUGAAUGCAAUGCCAUUCCUCUUCAAGUUGUCAUUCCCAGCAUAGAUGACCAUAUGACCGUCUGAUUCAAAAUGGCCAAUACCAUUUCAGCUCACUAAUGCCUAGGAUAUCGAUGUUUAUGUGUCACAUUUCAUUUUUGAUGAUUUCCAGUUUUCCUAGAUUCAUACUUUGUACAUUCCACAUUCCAAUUAUUAAUGUAUGUUUGCAGCUGUUUCUUCUCAUUUUGAGUCAUGCCACAUCAGCAAAUGAAGGUCUCAAAAGUUUGACUCCAUCCAUGUCACUAAGGUUGACUCUACUUUGAGGAGGCACCCCUUCCCCAGUCAUCUUUUGAGUGCCUUCCAACCUGGGGGCUCAUCUUCCAGCACUAUAUCAGACAAUGAUCUGCUGCUAUUCAUAACGUUUUCACUGGCUAAUGCUUUUCAGAAGUAGACUGCUGGGUCCUUCUUCCUAGUCUGUCUUAGUCUGGAAGCUCAGCUGAAAACUGUUCACCAGGGGUGACCCUGCUGGUAUUUGAAUACCGGUGGCAUAGCUUCCAGCAUCAUAGCAACACACAAGCCCCCUCAGUAUGACAAACUGGCAGAUGCAUGCAGCACUACUAGUAACAGCAAAAGACUGGAGCAACCCAAACGUUCACGAGAAGGGGACUGGUUGAAUAAACUAUGGUGCAGCCACAGCAGAGUACUGUGUAGCUGUAAGCAGCAAUGAGAAAGUUCUAACUGUUCUGCUAUGGGGUGAUCUCUAGGAUAUAUGAUUAAGUGACAAAGAAAGAAAAAAUCCAAGGAGAACUGUAUGUAUGUAGAAUAUGCUCUGUUCUGAAUAUGUGUGCAGUGUGUGUACACUUGAUUAUAUUUUCAAAAAGAAACGAUGGCAACUAACAAAAAUGGUUACCUAUGGGGGAUGAAGAGAACUGCUGGAGGGGAUAGGAAUGGAACCUAAACUUCUCUGAAUGUAUCUUGCUUUAGAGGUUUGAUUUCAUAAAUGUAAACAUUUUACAAAAUUAUAAAACAAAAGUAAAGACAAAAAAAAGGCCAACCCUUAACAUAAAAAAGAAACAAACAGAAAUGAAUAAACAGUUGAGCCAAGGCCCAGGGUUGCCAAUAAAAAGCAUGGCUUACACUCCCAGGCAGAGGAUGGCGUAACAUAGAGAAUAGACACACAGAGAAGAGAUAGAGCAAGCUCAGCUUCAACAGUGCGUACGGGCCCCCCGUAGCCAACAGGUCCCUCCCCAAAGCCAACACAGGGCAGGCAUAUGCAUGCACCCCUCUUGUGCGACAGAUGAGAGGCCCCAUUCCCGCCCUACCAGGAGCACGUAUAGAAGUGGGGUUGGCCAGGUGCCAUAUGGCACACACAUGUGCAAAGCAGAGAGAAAGUUUACUGUGUAUCAGAAUUGGGAGAGAGUUUCCCGAUAAAGAGGAAAGCUGGGAGACAAAGAAAGAGACUCAGUUCCCAGACUCUGUCAUCAGGGCCCAAGGCUUCUGAUUAGGCAAUCCAGGUGGGAGUCGGAAGGCUGUGUAAUAGACUACUUUCCAAUUUUCUGGACAAAAUCUGACGGUAUGUCAGCUUGGGGCAUAACAACAUCGUGAAGAAUUAUUGGAAGUUAUUUUAAAUCAGUAUUUUGAUUGCUUAUCUCUAACGGGCUUUAUGGAAACCCUAGUGCCGUAAUGGUUAAGUGCUAUGGCUGCUAACCAAAAGGUUGACAGUUCAAAUCUACCAGGCACUCCUUGAAAACUCUAUGGAGCGGUUCUACUCUGUCCUAUAGGGUCGCUAUGAAUUGGAAUCAACUCGACAGCAAUGGGUUUAAUGGACUUUAUUCUAAGGACCACAGAACCACAAAUAAAUCCUAAAGUAUACCGGUCAUCUUCUAGGUAGAAAUAAUAUUAGUAUUGUUAUUCUAGAACUAUUAGCUUUGUAAUGUAGGAUAAAAAAAUAUGAAAUUAUGUUAGGAACCAAGAUUUUCAGUGUAAGAAAAACGGAUACAAAACAAAAUCAAAGACAUUAAGUAAAAAACCCUGUGACCUUAAAAGUGAAUGAGAAUCACCAGUGUAUGAAUUUCCUGGGGAUGCUGUAACAAAAUACCUCCAACUGGAUGGCUUAUAAGAACAGAAAUUGGCUCACAAUUCUGGAGGCUAGGAGACUGAAUUCAGGGUGUUGACAGAUCCAUGUUCUCUCCAAAGGCUCUAGGAGAAGAUCCUUUCUUGUCUCUCCCAGUUUCUGGUAGCCCCAGGUAUUCCUUGGUUUGCAGCUGUAGCCUGUAAAAAACCUGUUGCCAUUGAGUCAAUUCCAACUCAUUGCGACCCUAUAGGACAGAGUAGAACUGCCCCAUAGGGUUUCCUAGGAGCAGGUGGUGGAUUCGAACUAGCUCUUAACCACUGCACCACCAGGGGUCCUAACUCCAUUAUCACAUGGCUGUCUUCCCUCUGCGUCUCUUUACUUCUCUUAUAAGGACAUCACUUAUAUUGGAUUAGGACCCACCUUACUCCAGUAUGACCUCACGUUAACUGAUGUGGGCAGUGGUGGUUGAGAGGUAGAAUUCUCACCUUCCAUGUAGGAGACCUGGGUUCAAUUCCCAGUGUACCUAAUGCAUAGCCACCACCCAUCUGCUAGUGCAGGCUUAUGAUGCUGAACAGGCUUCAGCACAGUUUCCAGACUCAGACAAACUGUGAAGAAAGGUCUGGCAAUCUACUUCUAAAAAUCAAACAAUGAAAACCCUAUGGAUCACAAUGGUCUGAUUCAUUGGGGUGGCACAGAACUGGGCAGCAUUUUGUUCCAUUGUGCAUAAGGUGUUCAUGAGUUGGGGGCUGACUUGAUGGCCACUAAAAACAACUUAACCAAUAACAUCUUCAAAGACCCUGUUUCCAAACAAGGUUAUGUUCACAAGUACAAGGGUUAGCACUUUGAUAUAUCUUUUUUGGGGGCACAAUUCAAUUCAUAACAAUCAGCUUUUCCAGCUUUCAGCUGAAAUACAAUAAUAACUGAGUAGCAAUUAGCACUCCUAGUAUCUAGAUUAUGGCCCCUAACUCCCAUAUCACUAAAAGGAGCAGAGCUCCUUGGAGACGUGACUGAUUCCAGGCAGAAGAUAUAUAAGAGCCUGGGAACUGUCAACCAGAAAGCAAGGAAGCUGUCAAAGACUACUGAGGUCAUGUCAAAACAUGCAGGACUCAGCAUAAAGGGACUCCCAUGUACUUGUGCCAGGCAUGGUUGUAAGAAUUUUACAAAUACUAACUCAUCUUCGGGGAAAUUACUUAAUCUCACUUAAUCCUCAAAACAAGCGUAUUAGAAAGGUUGUGUGAGCAUGCUCAUUUACAGAUGAGGACCCUGAGUACCUGGUUGAGCAAAUAAAUUGCCCAAGAUCACAAAGCAGGUAAGUGGCUGAGCCAGGACUUCAAUUCAGGAGGUCUGACUCUAGAGCUGAAGCCCUUAACUAUCUUCUAAACUGCCUUUUCAUUGAUGUAGGACAUUCAGUAUCUAAACAGAAAAGGAAAAUAGAGAAAGCUGCCCCAGUGCUUGCAGAGGCUAGUCUGGGUUCAGGUUUAAAACCAAGGACAGCACUGCGUGUGUGUGUGUGUGCGCUCGCGCGAGAGAGAGUGCGUGCGUGUCCAUCCUCUUUAGUUCUGCUAUGCCUAUAACCAUGCUCUCAGAGGCUGACAUCACAGCUAGUGGGGUCAGAGGCCAGUUGGGAUGUGCUCCAUAUCUUGGUCUGCUGCAAACCAAGCUCCCACCAUACCUGGCCUCCCUACCAGCCAUUCCCCAUAUCCUCCUGGCCCCCUUAGGGCCAUCUAGGCUUUCUUCUUCAAGACCACCACUUAAUAGCAGGGAUCACAGUUUAAUUCCUCACAACACCUAGCCAGGUAGGAAUGGGCAUUCCCACUUCCCUGAUGGGGAAACUGAGGCUCAGAGAGGUAUGGAACAGCCCCAGCUUAUGGAACUGGAAAGCAGCUGAUUCUGGCAUCUGCCAUACUCCUGUCUAACCUGCCUCUUUCUUCUUGCUGGCUUGUCCUCAUUAGAAGGGAGAGCGUGGGGUACCAGUACCCAUGAUGAGCAGUGAGUCAUCCUCAUUUUGUGUGUGUGUCAUCUCCCCAGCUGCAGCUGGGAGCUGGGAGGAGGGACCUGGGGAGGUAAGCUAGAUACAAGAAGGUAGCUUAUCCCAGCAAGAAAUGAACCCACAGUUCCAGGCAUCGUGGAUGAAUCCUAUCCUUCACCCUCUCCUGCACUCCACCCUGUCCCAUCUUCCACGUCCAUACAGCCACUACAUCUGACCAAUUCUACCCAUUGCCAUUGAGUGGAUUCCAACUCAUAGUGACCCUGUAGGACAUAGGAGAACUGUCCCAUAGGGUUUCCAAAGCUGUAAUCUUUACGGAAGUAGAUUACCAUACCUUUCUCCCACAGAGUGGCUGGUGGGUUCGAACCACUGACGUUUCAGUUAGCAGCUGAGAGUUUAACCACUGUUCCACCAGGGCUCCAUGUCCAUACAGCCAGUGCAUCUAACCAAUACUACCUCUUGAAUAUUCCUGGAACCUAGCCCUGUUCCUCCCAAAGCCACAGCCCUAGCCCAGGUCUCCAUCAGCUUUCACCUGGACUGCAGGAGCCUCCUCCCUGGUCCCCCUGCUUUCUCCCUCGAUUCUGCAGCCUUAUUUCUGCAAGAGAGAAAUGGGCAUGUUCCAGACAGGCUUUGAAGGUGGAAUGACAGGACUAGUGCCAGAAUGGACAAAUAAAUAUAUUCAGCUCUGCCAAUAUCACUGUGACUCCCCUCUCUGGCCUAGGCCUAAUUUUAUUUCUUUUAAGACAAUCACACAAAAAUCAGUUGGGUUUCUAUACACCAGCCAUGAGCAAACUGAAAAGGAAAUUAAGGAAACAAUUUCACUUACAAUAGCAUCUAAAAAAAUAAAAUACCUAGAAAUAAAUUUAACCCGGGAGGUAAAAGACUUGUACACUGAAAACUAUAAAACAUUACUGAAAGAAAAAAAAGACCUCAAUAAAUGAAAAGACAUUCUGUGUCCAUGGACUAGAAAGACUUAAUCUUGUUAAGAUGUAAAUACUGCCCAAAGUGAUCUAAAGAGUUAAUGCAAUCCCCAUCAAAAUGUCAACAUUUUUCAGAAAUGGAAAAGCAAAUUCUCAAAUUUAUGUGGAACUGCUUUUAUCGUUGUUAGUUGCUGUUGAGUUGAUUUCAACUCAUGGAAACCCCAUGUGUGCAGAACAGAACUGUUCCAUAGGGUUUUCAAGGCUCUGGCCUCUUGGAAGCAUAUCACUAGGCCUGUCUUCUGAGGCAUCUCUGGGUGGGUUCAAACCACCAACCUUCAGCUAGUAGUUGAAUGCUUUGCCAAUUAUGCCACCCAGCCACCUAUAUGGAACUGCAAAGGGCCUGAAAUAGCCAAAGCAAUAUUGAAAAAGAAAAACAAAGUAGGAGGACUCACACUUUCUAAUUUCAAAGUAUACUAUAAAGCUACAGUAAUCAAAACAGCCUAGCUCUGGUAUAAUGAUAGAUAUAUAGACCAAUGGUAUAGACACGAGAGUCCAGAAAUAAACCCAUACAUCCACUGUCAAUUGAUUUUCAACAAGGGUGCUAAGUCCACUAAAUAGGAAAAGAAUAGCCUCUUCCAUAAAUGUUGCUAGGACAACUGGAUCUCCACAUGCAAAAGAAUGAAGCUGGACCCCUACCUCACACCAUAUACAAUUAUUAACUCAAAAUGGAUCAAGGACCUAAAUGUGAAAACUAAAACCAUAAAACUCUUAGAACAAAACACAGGGGUAUACUGGACUGAUAGAGACUAGAGGAACCCGAGACUAUCACCCUAAGAUACUUUUUAACCUGGAACUGAAGCUACUCCCAGAGGUCAGUAGCUUCAGCCAAAAGCAGAGAUGAGAAGGCAAGGAGGGGCAGGGAAACUGUGUGGAUGGAAACAGGGCAGACAGGGUGGAGAUGGUGAGAGUGCUGACAUAUUACGGGGAUUGUAACCAAUGUUACAAAACAAUUUGUGUAUGAACUGUUGCAUGAGAAUCUAAUUUGCUGUACCAACUUUCACCUAAAAAGCAUAACAAAAUAUUUUUAAAAAACAAACAUAGGAGUAAUGCUUUGGGACUGAGUUUUUGACAAUGGAUUCUUAAAUAUGACAUCAAAACUAGACAAAAUAGAUAAACUGGACUUCAUCAAAAUUAAAAACUUUUGUGUAUCAAAGGAUUUUUAUCAACAAAGAGACAACCUCCAGAAUGGAAAAAAAUAUUUGGGAACCAUACAUUGGAUAAGGGCUUAAUAUCCAGAAUAUAUAAAGAACUCUGACAACUUGACAACAAAAAGACAAAAAACUCAAAAAAUGGGCAAUGCCCAGGACAGGAACCAUUCCCGAAGCCAGCUCUUCAGACAUGAAUUAGACAGGACAAUGGGUUGGAGAGGGAUGCUGGUGAGGAGUGAGCUUCUUGGAUCAGGUAGACACUUCAGACUCUGUUGGUAUCUCCUGCCUGGAGGGGAGAUGAGAGGGUGGAGGGGGUUAGAAGCUGGCGAAAUGGACAGGAAAAGAGUGGAGGGAGAGAGUGGGCUGUCUCAUAGGGGGGGAGUAAUUGGGAGUGUGUAGCAAGGUGAAUGGGGGUUUUUGUGUGAAAGAUUGACUUGAUUUGUAAACUUUCACUUAAAGCUCAAUAAAAAUUAUAUAUUUCAAAAAAAAAAAAGGGCAACGGACUUGAAUAGACACUUAACCAAAGAAGAAAUUCAAAUGGCCAACAAGCACACAAAAAGAUGCUCAAAAUCAUUAGUCAUUAGGGAAAUGCAAAACAGAACCACAAUGAGAUACCACUUCACCCCCACUAGGAUAGAUAUAAGGAGCCCUAGUGGUACAAUAGGAAACCCUGGUGGUAUAGUGGUUAAAAGCUAUGGUUGCUAACCGAAAGGUCAGCAGUUCAAAUCUACCAGGCACUCCUUGGAAACCCUAUGGGGCAGUUCUCUGUCCUCUAGGGUUGCUAUUGGUCGGAAUUGACUCGAUGGCAGUGGUUUUGGAAACACUGGUGGUGUAGUGGUUAAGUGCUACAGCUGUUAACCAAGAGGAUGGCAGUUCAAAUCUGCCAGGUGCUCAUUGGAAACUCUAUGGGGCAGUUCUACUCUGUCCUACAGGGUCGCUAUGACUCAGAAUUGACUCAAUGGCAGUGGGUUUUGGUUUGGAUGCUACAAUGGCUAAGCGUUCGGCUGCUAACCAAAAGGUUGGUGGUUUGAACCCGCCAGCUGCUCCAUGGGAAAAAAGACCUGGCAAUCUGCUCCUGUAAAGAUAACAGCCUAAGAAAUCCUAUGGGGCAGUUCUACUCUGUCAUAUAGGGUUGCUAUGAGUUGGAAUUGACUCGAUGACAACAGGAUGGCUAUGACCAGAAAAACAGAAAACAAACUUUGGUAAAGGGUAAGACAGUACACAAUAGUGGGAAAGCCAGUACAACUUGACCAAGACAAGGUCAUGGAAGCUUCACAGACACAUUCAAACUCCCUGAGGGACUGAAUUGUUGGGCUGAGGGAUGAGGACCAUGGUCUCAGGGGACAUCUAGCUCAACUGGCAUAACAUAGUUUAUAAAGAAAAUGUUCUACAUCCUAUUUUGGUUAGUAGUGUCUAGGGUCUUAAAAGCUUUUGAGUGGCCAUCUAAGCUACUCCACUAGUCUCACCCCAUCUGGAGCAAGGGAGAAUGAAGAAAACCUAAAGACACAAGGGAAAGAUUAGGACAAAGGGCUAACAGACCACAACUACCACGGCCUCCACCAGACUGAGUCCAGUACAACUAGAUGGUGCCCAGCUACCACCACCGACUCCUCUGAUAGGGAUCACAAUAGAGGGUCCUGGACAGAGCUGAAGAAAAAUGCAGAACAAAAUUCUAAUUCAAAAUAAAAAGACCAGACUUACUGGUCUGACAGAGACUGGAGAAACCUCAAGAGUAUGGCCCCCAGAUACCCUUUAAACUCAGUACUGAAGUCAUUCCUGAGGUUCACUCUUCAGCUGAAGAUUGGACAGGCCCAUAAAACAAAACAAGACUAAAGGGGCACACCAGCCCAUGGGCAAGGACUGGAAGCCAGGAGGGGACAGUACUGCAGUUCUGUUCACAAUAACCAAAAGGUGGAAACAAUAUAAAUGCCCGUUAACGAAUGAAUGAAUACACAAAAUGUGGUCUAUUCAUACAAUGGAGUAUUACUGAGCCAUAAAGAGAAAUGAAGUUCUAACACAUGCUAUGACAUGGCCGAACCUGGAAAACAUUAUGCUGAGUGAACGAAGCCAGACACAAAAGAACAAAUAUUGUAUGAUCCCACUUAAGUGAAAUAUCUAGAACAGGUACAUGCAUAGAGAUUAAAGUUUAUUAGUGGUUAUCAGGGGUGGGAAGGAGGGGAGAGGGAGGAGUCUUGCUUAGGGGGCACUGAGCUUCUGUUAAUGGUGGUGGAAUAAUUUGGGAACAGUGGAGAUGGUUGCACAACACAACGAACGUAAUUAAUGCCGCUGAAUUGCACACGUAAAAAAUGUUGAAUUGGCAAACGUUUCGUUAUAUACAUUUUUACUACAAUUAAAAAAAAAAAAAGAUCAUCAAUAAGGUGGAACUCUCAGGCUCUCCACAAGGUCUAGAAGCUGAGCAAAGCCUCAACUGGCCUUCUAGUUUCUGCUGGAGGCCACUGAAGAGGCAGCAAAUCAAUGAUUCCAAGUGAGGAUUCUACACGUUCUUCAAUGACUAAAAGGUAAGAAAAUAAUGGGAGGCAAGAGUUACAGAUUAAAAGAGAUUUAAGAGAUAUGCCAAUCAAAUGUAAUGUACUUUAAAAAAAAUUUUAUUUUAUUGUGUUUUCAGUGAAGGUUUACACAGCAGUUUAGGUGCCCAUUCAACAAUUUCUAUACAAGUAGUUCAGUGACAUUGGCUGCAUUCUUCCCAAUGCGUGAAUGUUUUCAUUAUUUCUGUUCUGGUUGUCCCGCUUCCAUUAAUCUAGUUUCCCUGCCCCCUUACCUUUUCAUUUUUGUUUUAAAGUAAUUGUUGACCGUUUGGUGGACUUUGCUUCUUGAUUUCAAUAAACCAACCAUAAAAAUACAUUUAGGAAACAGUCGGGUAGUGACGGGAUUGUAGAGGGUAUUAUGGAAUCAUUAAUUUUUUGUAGGUGAGAAAAUAUUAUGGUUAUUAUCACUUAGAGGUAAAUUCUGAAGUGCUCAUGGAUGAAAUGAUGUGCUGUCAGGGAUGUGCAGCAAAUAACCAGCAGGGGGCAGAUGAGGGAGCAGAUGGCAUAGAGCUCCAGAUCACCUAGAGGAAGUUACACCUUUCUCAAAAGACAUACUUCACAUUUUUGGAGUAAAUGGAAUGUUCUGGCAACAAUGUGAGGCAUCUAGUGGGAAUGUGACAAGUCAGGCUUACUGGUACUGCAAAAGAAUGCCAUGCAUGGGACCUACCCAUUGACCCCCAUCUCAGAGCAGCCAUGGGAAGGUGAAAAUUGUUGACUAUACUAAUCUCUUUACUUUUCUGUACAUAGCGCAGUAAAACCCGUGAAAGCCAGAGCCUGUGUAAGACAGAAACCUGUCAGAGAAAGAAAACUCAAAUAUUUUCCACUAAAACAAGUGACAGAAACGUGGUAAGUCUGUACCCUGUCAGAGGUGGAAAACUUUCAUGACCCGGAAAAACAAGGUAGUCUUGUCAAGUUUUAGCUCGCAUAGGUUUCACCGUAUGAGACAAUUUCCAAAAGAAUAUCAAAAAGUAAGAGUUUUAGAGCUAGACUGUCUGUUUCCAGCCUUGGCUCUGACACUUCCUUGCUGUCUGCCCUUUGACCCAUCACAUUCCCAUGGUGUGCCUCAGUUUCCCCAUCUGUAAAAUAAGGAACAACAAUGUCUACCUGAUAGAGUUGAUAUGAGGAUUCUAGGAGUUACUACUUCGAACAGGACCCGGAAUGUCAAAAACACCAAAGAAAUGUUAGCUCUGACUACUGCUAUUGUAUAACACUUGGGUGUUUUAUAAGAUUUUCCUUCCUUUUUUUGUCUGAACAGAUCUGGAUCCCUGGUUUUUGGGGGGAGUACACAGGACACCUGCUUAAAAAAAAAAAACAAAACUUUAUUGAAUAUCACUCACAUACCAUGUAAUUCACCCAUUUAAAGUGGACAAUUCAGUGGGUUUUCUAUACUCAGAGAGAUGUGCAUCCAUCACCACAAGCAAUUUUACAGCAUUACCCCUAUUUUAGAACACUACCUGCUUUUGUCCCCAACCUGGUGCCUGCUUCAGGGUGGGGGAGAUUCUGAGCCCUCUUAUAACUUCUCUUAUGGCUGACGGGGUGGGCAGUGAGGGUCAUCACCUCUCCACGGCUCCUCUGAGGAGGGCUAAUGAGCAGGUCCCUCGACGUUCUUUGGCGGCGCCAGUAAGACGUCAGCCAGCCUGGUUUCCAGAAUGUUCCAUUUACUGCAAUAAUGUGAAGUGCAUCUUUGGAGAAAGGUGCCCACAUCCCUCAUGUGGUUUCUUCUAGAUGAUCAAUGAUAAUCUGCCACAAUUUAAUUUCCUCCUUUUUUCUCAAGACGGAAGUGGAAACACUCAUGACAUAUUUGGCUGGUGUUAAAGGAGCUACGAGACCCAUCAAGGGUCGUUUGAUAAAGGGCUGCUGGGACGGGGGGGGGGGGGGUGGGGAAAAAGAGGAAUCUUGAGCAACUCUGGGGUGUCCUGCAUAGUGACAGGGAAGCCAGUGGUGCUAUUUACCAAAAUGGGGAAAAUGAAAGGGGCAGGUAUGAAAGGGACCAAAAAAAAAAAACCCAUAAUCCCCACACUAAAAAGGUUGUCAUGAGACUUGAAUGAGAUUUGACAAGCUCUUGUCAUUUUUUUUUUUUGUCAUAGUGACCCAUAGUGAACUGGGUUCAAAUCCUGGUUCCUCCCUUCCAAACCAUAUGACCUUAAACAAGUUGCUCUGGGUCUUAGUCUCCUGGUCUGUAAAACAGGAAGCCCCGGUUGGUACAGUGGUUAAGCGCUUGCUGCUAACUGAAAGGGUGGUGGUUUAAAUCCACCAGCCACUCUGCAGAAGAAAAAUGUGGCAGUCUGCUUUCCUAAAGAUUACAGCCUUGGAACCCUAUGGGCAGUUCUAUUCUGUCCUAUAGGGUCGCUAUAAGCUGAAAUUGGCUAGAUGGCAGGGGGCCAUCUGAGGGGCUAAGGCCAGCAGUGUCCAGCAUGUGGCCCGAAGAAGGCUCUUAAUGGCCAUAAAGGUCCUAGGGAUUAGUCCAUGUCUGGCUUCUCUCCAGGCCAGCCUUCCAGGGGUCUGGGGCCUCCUGGCUAAUGGAGAACUACAAAUUCUUCUCGGGCCCCCUGGGGAAAUUCCAGUCCAGAGAGUACCCACUAAUGGGGGCAAAAAAGUCAAAGACACUGGAAAGACCCUGGGGAAAAGGGUUGAAACAGGGAACUGUGGGGAGGGGUUUUCCAGGCUGCACAGGGAAGGGAGAUUCUGGUAGACGGGGGGAAUUGACCACAUCAUCCCCGCUUGGUAUCCUCCCCACCAUCUCGGAGUCACACCUGGCCGACUCCUCGGGCCCCUUCUCCUACCACUUCUCCUCCCAGCCACACUGGCCUUCUUUGUCCCUCUCAAGCCUUUGUACUGGCUGUUCCCCCACCUGGAAGGCUAUUUCAAGGCUGGUUUCCUCAGAAGAUCUCACUAUGACCUGCUCUGUGAUGCACCCCACCCCCGUCUCCACCCACUCGAUUCCUCUCAUCACAUUAUUCAUCAGAGCUUUUAUCUCUCUCUGAAAUCAGAGUACACCAUUUAUUUAUAAACUUACUUUUGUGACCCCAGUUCUCCAUGCUCACUCCCCCAAGAACAUCAGCUCCAUUCUUGUGCAUGGCUCUGUUCCCAGGACUUGACAAAUAGUUGGUGCUUAAUAAAUGCUUGCUAAAUAGAGACUCCUGGGAAGAGGCUUCCAGGAGCCCCAGAACCCCAAGGAGGCCUUGGGGUGGCCCUCACUUGACAUUUGGAAGGCAGGAGAAACUCCUUGUUACGGACUGAGUUGUGUCCUCCCAAAAUAUGUGUUGAAAUCCUAAUCACUGUACCUGUAAAUAGGACCCUCUUUGGAAAUAGUGGGUUCUUUUGUUAUGUUAAUAAGGUCAUACCAGUAUAGAAUGGGUGGUACACCUAAUCACUUCUGAGAUAUAAAAAGAACAGAUCGGACACAGAGACACACUCACGGGAGAAUACAGGUGCCAUGUGAGAUCGUCUACAAGCCAAGGAAACAAGGAACAUCUGGGACAACUGACAAGGAAGGAGUCUAAGUGGCAGAAACCCUGAUUUAGAUUUUAGCGUCCAGAACUGUGAGAAAACAAAAUUCUGUUUUUAAAGCCACCCACUCAUGGUGUUGGUGUUACAAUGGCACUAAGUGACUGAGAUAUUGCUGGCCCAGGGCACUGGUCUGCCCAACUCACUCGUGGUCACUCAGCCACUACAGGGCAGGGUGAGCUCAAUUUCCUCUUCCCAAGGGUGCCCUUGUUUCCAGGAAGGAGACUGUCCCGCCUCACGGGAUGUGGCCUCUCAGAGAGCAGGGGCCAUACCGCUUGUGCCCCCAGGCCCAUGGCUCUGCCAAGGGGACUUUUGGUGGGUUGGUGGGCUGAUGCAUAGCUAGGGACUUGGGGGCCUCACUGGGCCCUGCUCCUGGGAAUCCGCUCUCUCAGCUGGCCUGGCUCCUGCUUAGGCAAGAACCUAAGCUUCACCAUAGUAGAGCUGCCUUCCUGCCUCCAGCCACUUCACCCCACAUCCGGCCUCCCAGCCAGGAUGGGUCAGAACCUGCUGGGGGCCGCUCAUUGGCUCCAACCCUCCCCAGGGGCCAGAGCAGCAGGGCCAUGGCUUGGCAAGGCCUGUGGCAGGCUGGGCAGUUUGCUAGAAUGCACCAGGAAACUCUGCUCUGACAGGAGUCUCAUUCUCUUGGACAGCCCUCUCAGCCAAGUCAUAAACAUGUGCUUGGUCUGCCCUCUGUGGCAUCCAGCACUGGGAGGGAGAUCCUGUUAUUACCAAGCCCAUGCCACAGGUGAGGAAACUGAGGCUCACAUCGGGGAUGGGGCAGAGCUGGGCUUUAAACCCAAAGCCUGUGUGGCUCAGAGCCCAGGACAAUGUUUCCUGGACAGCCUGGUGAAGAUGGGCAGUGGGGUUUCAGGGACAAAGGCCCCACUCUGAGCCGCACAGGACAUGCUAGGGCUCAGGAUGAUCAACACAUCACCAGCUUCCCUUCUAGGCACUUCCCACUCUGAACACGUUUGGUCUCCUACAGCCUGGGAGGCAGGUACUAUUAUUACCCCAUAGCCUGGUCCAGUGUGACCUGGGGCUCAGUUCUCCACCAGGGCAGGUAUACCUCCUGGAAGCCCAGGAGGUCCCAAGGAUGCCCUCUCUGAGCCCUGACAGAGCUCACUGCCUCAAGAUCCCCACAAACAGAAGGGAGCAGCUGGUAUAGAGCCCAGAAGCUUCUGGGGCUUGGAGGGUAGGCCGUGGUAUGGGAAUGUACACUUUGCCCAUCCCUCACCUUGCACAUGUAGAGGCUGGCAGGAGGUUCCACCUUAAUUCUGGCACUGUUUCCCCAUCUAGAAACUUCUCACCACCUUGAAUGGGACCCAGGGGGCACAGUCCUCCCAAAAUCACUAACCCCAUCCACAGCCUCAUCCCUAAACAUGACCCCACAGCCAGACUGCCAGGCUGCUGAUCGGAUCUCAAUUUCUGUAUGAGUAACCUCUCAGUUUUUCCUGGUUUUGCUCUUUCCCAGCAUUUUUUCUCAAUUAUUCCUUUUCCUCCUAUUUUAAGCCCUGUUAACCUCAA